rnacentral:rRNA from 1 species
GAUGAACGCUAGCUACAGGCUUAACACAUGCAAGUCGAGGGGCAGCAUGGUCUUAGCUUGCUAAGGCCGAUGGCGACCGGCGCACGGGUGAGUAACACGUAUCCAACCUGCCGUCUACUCUUGGACAGCCUUCUGAAAGGAAGAUUAAUACAAGAUGGCAUCAUGAGUCCGCAUGUUCACAUGAUUAAAGGUAUUCCGGUAGACGAUGGGGAUGCGUUCCAUUAGAUAGUAGGCGGGGUAACGGCCCACCUAGUCUUCGAUGGAUAGGGGUUCUGAGAGGAAGGCCCCCCACAUUGGAACUGAGACACGGUCCAAACUCCUACGGGAGGCAGCAGUGAGGAAUAUUGGUCAAUGGGCGCAGGCCUGAGCCAGCCAAGUAGCGUGAAGGAUGACUGCCCUAUGGGUUGUAAACUUCUUUUAUAAAGGAAUAAAGUCGGGUAUGUAUACCCGUUUGCAUGUACUUUAUGAAUAAGGAUCGGCUAACUCCGUG